rnacentral:rRNA from 1 species
GAAUAUUGGACAAUGGGGGGAACCCUGAUCCAGCCAUGCCGCGUGUGUGAAGAAGGCCUUUUGGUUGUAAAGCACUUUAAGCGAGGAGGAGGCUACUCUAGUUAAUACCUAGAGAUAGUGGACGUUACUCGCACAAUAAGCACCGGCUAACUCUGUUCCAGCAGCCGCGGGAAUACCGAGGGUGCGAGCGUUAAUCGGAUUUACUGGGCGUAAAGCGUGCGUAGGCGGCCAAUUAAGUCAAAUGUGAAAUCCCCGAGCUUAACUUGGGAAUUGCAUUCGAUACUGGUUGGCUAGAGUAUGGGAGAGGAUGGUAGAAUUCCAGGUGUAGCGGUGAAAUGCGUAGAGAUCUGGAGGAAUACCGAUGGCGAAGGCAGCCAUCUGGCCUAAUACUGACGCUGAGGUACGAAAGCAUGGGGAGCAAACAG